rnacentral:rRNA from 1 species
UCUUUUAGACAUUGGGUAGGGGAGCGUUCUGUAAGCCGUUGAAGGUGAAUCGUAAGGUUUGCUGGAGGUAUCAGAAGUGCGAAUGCUGACAUGAGUAACGACAAGGGGGGUGAAAAACCUCCCCGCCGGAAGACCAAGGGUUCCUGUCCAACGUUAAUCGGGGCAGGGUGAGUCGACCCCUAAGGCGAGGCUGAAAAGCGUAGUCGAUGGGAAACGGGUUAAUAUUCCCGUACUCAAUCAAAUUGCGAUGGGGGGACGGAGAAGGCUAGGUGGGCCAGGCGACGGUUGUCCUGGUUCAAGUGCGUAGGCUUAAGAGUUAGGUAAAUCCGGCUCUUUCUAAGGCUGAGACACGACGUCGAGCUACUACGGUAGUGAAGUCAUUGAUGCCAUGCUUCCAGGAAAAGCCUCUAAGCUUCAGAUUUGAUGGAAUCGUACCCCAAACCGACACAGGUGGUCGGGUAGAGAAUACCAAGGCGCUUGAGAGAACUCGGGUGAAGGAACUAGGCAAAAUGGUACCGUAACUUCGGGAGAAGGUACGCUCUUGAUGGUGAAGUCCCUCGCGGAUGGAGCUGACGAGAGUCGCAGAUACCAGGUGGCUGCAACUGUUUAUUAAAAACACAGCACUGUGCAAAAUCGCAAGAUGACGUAUACGGUGUGACGCCUGCCCGGUGCCGGAAGGUUAAUUGAUGGGGUUAGCG